AAGAAACCAACAGGGAUUGCCCUAGUAACGGCGAGUGAAGCGGCAACAGCUCAAAUUUGAAAUCUGGCCUCGGCCCGAGUUGUAAUUUGCAGAGGAUGCUUCUGGCGCGGUGCCCUCCGAGUUCCCUGGAACGGGACGCCACAGAGGGUGAGAGCCCCGUAUGGUCGGACACCAAGCCUGUGUGAAGCUCCUUCGACGAGUCGAGUAGUUUGGGAAUGCUGCUCUAAAUGGGAGGUAAAUCUCUUCUAAAGCUAAAUACCGGCCAGAGACCGAUAGCGCACAAGUAGAGUGAUCGAAAGAUGAAAAGCACCUUGAAAAGGGGGUUAAAUAGUACGUGAAAUUGUUGAAAGGGAAGCACUUGUGACCAGACUUGGGCCGGGCGGCUCAUCAGGGGUUCUCCCCUGUGCACUCCGCCCGGCACAGGCCAGCAUCGGUCUUCGCGGGGGGACAAGACCGCCGGGAACGUAGCACCCUCCGGGGUGUGUUAUAGCCCGGCGGACGAUACCCCCGCGGGGACCGAGGUCCGCGCUCCGCAAGGAUGCUGGCGUAAUGGUCACCAGUGACCCGUCUUGAAACACGGACCAAGGAGUCGUCCAUUAGAGCGAGCGUUUGGGUGUCAAACCCGCACGCGUAAUGAAAGUGAACGCAGGUGAGAGCUUCGGCGCAUCAUCGACCGAUCCUGAUGUUCUCGGAAGGAUUUGAGUAAGAGUUUUAACGGACGGACCCGAAAGACAGUGAACUAUGCUUGUAUAGGGUGAAGCCAGAGGAAACUCUGGUGGAGGCUCGCAGCGGUUCUGACGUGCAAAUCGAUCGUCAAAUAUGAGCAUGGGGGCGAAAGACUAAUCGAACUGUCUAGUAGCUGGUUACCGCCGAAGU
rnacentral:rRNA from 1 species